AGAAGUAACCAGCAGGAGGCGCCGCAGGGGUGAGUCCCGCACUGUUACAGGGAUCCAUGGAGGAGAUCAUCUGACUACUAACUCAGGAGAGGCCCAACAGAUUUUCCUGGAAGGGAAGCAAGAAGUUUGGCAAGCUACCCAGCGGCAGCAAGCUGUGCCCCUUGAGCUAUUGCUGCUGCAGAAACAGCAACAAUGGUGGCAGCAGCAGUUUCAGGAGGCGAUGCUAGAGUGGAUCACCGGCCACUCCCACUCUGAAGUGACUUCAUGAGCACCAGCUAUUGCCCUUUCCAAAUUGGGAUCCACUGAUGACCCUAAGGUGUAUCUUGCUACAUUUGAAUGGGUAGGCCCUACCACUCAAUGGGAGAAGACCACCUGGGCUGCAUAGCUGGUCCCCUUUUUGACAGGAGAAGGACAGUUGGCCUAGCAGGCCUUAGAAGAUGAAACUGCAAAGGACUAUGAUGCUGUAAAAACAGCCCUCCUCGACCGACUAGAGGUAUCACCUGAGAUGGCACCAAUUCCAGACAGAGUCCUUCCCACUGGGACAUGAUCCCAGGUUGUGGCUCAGUGACUAAAGGACUGGGCCAUCCACUGACGCUGGAUGAGACUCUGUAGUUGGUGGUACUUGAACAGUAUCUAGAUAUUUUGUCAACCACCAUUCAAACCGGGGCACUCCAACAGAACCCCAGCACGCUGACAGGCUGACUGGACAGGCUGAACAGCCCAGGUCUUGUGAAACUCAGCCCAAACCUCCUGAGGAGUCAACUGGAGGUACCGGAAAAGGGCUAGCAGGCUCCGAGAAAAGCACUGAAAUGAGGGGGACCCUCCCAGUGGAACCCAGAAGGCACCAGGCAACACCACAUCAAAACCCAUCACAGGGGAAAUGCAGAGUCCCAUGCUGGAGCAGACCGAGCAGGUGACUUGGGAGCCUCCCCUGAUAGGCCAAUCAUUGUUUCUGAUGUGGGAAGCCAGGAUUACUGAUCCAUGGGAGGACCUUCCCUCUUAUCCCAUGACUACCUACUUUGCUUACUUGUUGUGGGUCCUUGUCAAAGGCUUUCUGAAAGUCCAAUUACACUAUAUCAGCUGGACCACCCUUGCAACACGUUUGUUGACACCCUUAAAGAAUUCUAAUAGAUUGACUAGGGACCUUAUCCCAUGUGGAGCUCCACUGAAACCAAUGGGACUCCACACCUGAGAGGAGGUGCAGGAUAAGCCCUCCAGUAACCUGAGUAGGUUCUGCAAGGGCCAAAAGCUAGAACUCUGCAAAGGCGGUUAGAAAUGAAUUUGGAAGCAGCAUGGAAUUUUAAAAUCUAAUCUGUAAUUUUAAAAAUGAAAACUAAUGUGAUUUGUGUACAAUACAUUUCCAUUAAAACUCA